GUGAAGGAAGGUUGUCACUGCCAUUCUCCCUGCCACCAACGACUUUGGACUGCAAAGGGAAGAGACAUAGAGAACAUGUAUAAGAGCACACCCUGGAUAGUGCUUCACAUUUGGCAGCCAUUUAAUCAAGGUUUGCUAAACUGAAAUGAAUCAUCAGUGACUUCUUGGAAUGUGCUUUCCACCCAACAACAAUAUGUGCAAUCUAUUCCUUUACCACUUCCCUCUGGGACUUCGGAGGGCUGGUGAGAAGACUGUGAUAUUAUUCAAGAAGUCCAAUUAGAGAAGACAAUGCUGUAAGAAAAAACUAUCUAAAUAUUUCCUUAAUUGAUUUUCUAUAACAGUUCAAAUAAA